rnacentral:rRNA from 1 species
GACGAACGCUGGCGGCGCGCUUAACACAUGCAAGUCGAACGGAAAGGCCUGCUUUCCCUUGUGGAUUGCGGGUACUCGAGGGGCGAACGGGUGAGUAACACCUGACUGAUCUGCCCCCAACUUGGGUAUAAGCCUGGGAUACUGCGGCUAAUUCCCGAUAGGACCACAGGGGGGGGCCUGAGGUUGCAAACGAUGUUCUUGGAGUCGGGGAUGAGCACGCGGUGUAUCAGCUUGUUGGUGGGGUAAUGGUCGACGAAGGGGGCGUCGGGUAGCCGGUCUGGGAGGGUGGGCGGCCACAUUGGGACUGCGAUACUGCGCAGACUCCUACGGGAGGCAGCAGUGGGGAAUAUUGCACGAUGGGCGGAAGACUGAGGCAGGGACGCUGCGUGGGGGAUGACGGCCUUCGGGUUGUAGACUCCGUUCGACCGCGAGGAAGCCACCUGGUUGGAAGGGUGGUGACGGUAGUGGUAGAAGAAGCACCGGCUAACUACGUG